UUGCCUAUGGUCAGACUGGAUCAGGAAAAACAUACACCAUGACUGGCGCAGACAGAGCGACUGAGGAGAAUUUGGGUGUCAAUUAUCGCGCUUUAAAUGAUCUUUUCACAAUUUCUCAAAUGAGAGGGAGCACCUUCACAUAUGAAAUUACAGUUCAAAUGAUAGAAAUAUAUAACGAACAAGUUCGUGACUUACUCUCAAGUGAUAGUUCACAAAAGAAAUAUCCUUCCUUCCUCUUUGCUGAUACUGCUUUGUCUUACAUUUACAAUUAAUUACCAGAAGACCAUCUCCGACUUGCAUAUAACAUGAUUUUCAUUAACUGUUUUCCUUGAUUUGCACACACUUGGGAUAUUAUCCGCCUCCCAACCCAACGGUUUAGCUGUUCCUGAAGCGAGCAUGCAGCCAGUAAACAGGACCUCUGAUGUCUUAGAUUUGAUGGAUAUUGGAUUAAGAAAUCGAGCAAAAGGUGCAGUCGAUCACACAGCGUUGUAACUAUUCAUGUUCGUGGGAUGGACAUAAAGAGUGGUUCAUCCAUGCGUAGUAGUCUUAAUUUGGUGGAUCUCGCUGGAAGUGAAAGAGUAGACCGCUCUGAGGUGACAGGAGAUAGACUGAAAGAGGCGCAACAUAUAAAUAAGUCAUUAUCUGCCCUAGGAGAUGUCAUUUCCGCUUUGGCACAAAAAAAUGCUCAUGUCCCUUACAGAAACAGCAAGCUGACUCAACUCCUUCAGACUUCAUUAGGUACUUAUGAAUUGUAAGCAAGUAGUAUUGGAGAUAUUUCAACAGUUAAUGUGCUCGGCUGUUAAGAGCAGCCCGGUGCACUAAGCUCCCGCUAUGCGCAGGGUCAUGGGUGGUUUUUUUAAUGUCCAGCCCGUCCCAGCCCGCCCGUUAAACACCCAUAAUCCAAACAAGCUGUAAUAGUACCUUAGUUAACAAGGGAUAUGGUGGAACUAGAAGUCUUGGAUUUGAAUCUUAACAAU